rnacentral:rRNA from 1 species
GGGGAGCGUUCUGUAAGCCUGUGAAGGUGUACUGUGAGGUAUGCUGGAGGUAUCAGAAGUGCGAAUGCUGACAUAAGUAACGAUAAAGCGGGUGAAAAGCCCGCUCGCCGGAAGACCAAGGGUUCCUGUCCAACGUUAAUCGGGGCAGGGUGAGUCGACCCCUAAGGCGAGGCCGAAAGGCGUAGUCGAUGGGAAACAGGUUAAUAUUCCUGUACUUGGUGUUACUGCGAAGGGGGGACGGAGAAGGCUAUGUUGGCCGGGCGACGGUUGUCCCGGUUUAAGCGUGUAGGCUGGUUUUCCAGGCAAAUCCGGAAAAUCAAGGCUGAGGCGUGAUGACGAGGCACUACGGUGCUGAAGCAACAAAUGCCCUGCUUCCAGGAAAAGCCUCUAAGCAUCAGGUAACAUCAAAUCGUACCCCAAACCGACACAGGUGGUCAGGUAGAGAAUACCAAGGCGCUUGAGAGAACUCGGGUGAAGGAACUAGGCAAAAUGGUGCCGUAACUUCGGGAGAAGGCACGCUGAUAUGUAGGUGAAGCGACUUGCUCGUGGAGCUGAAAUCAGUCGAAGAUACCAGCUGGCUGCAACUGUUUAUUAAAAACACAGCACUGUGCAAACACGAAAGUGGACGUAUACGGUGUGACGCCUGCCCGGUGCCGGAAGGUUAAUUGAUGGGGUCAGCGCAAGCGAAGCUCUUGAUCGAAGCCCCGGUAAACGGCGGCCGUAACUAUAACGGUCCUAAGGUAGCGAAAUUCCUUGUCGGGUAAGUUCCGACCUGCACGAAUGGCGUAAUGAUGGCCAGGCUGUCUCCACCCGAGACUCAGUGAAAUUGAACUCGCUGUGAAGAUGCAGUGUACCCGCGGCAAGACGGAAAGACCCCGUGAACCUUUACUAUAGCUUGACACUGAACAUUGAGCCUUGAUGUGUAGGAUAGGUGGGAGGCUUUGAAGUGUGGACGCCAGUCUGCAUGGAGCCGACCUUGAAAUACCACCCUUUAAUGUUUGAUGUUCUAACGUGGACCCGUAAUCCGGGUUGCGGACAGUGUCUGGUGGGUAGUUUGACUGGGGCGGUCUCCUCCUAAAGAGUAACGGAGGAGCACGAAGGUUGGCUAAUCCUGGUCGGACAUCAGGAGGUUAGUGCAAUGGCAUAAGCCAGCUUGACUGCGAGCGUGACGGCGCGAGCAGGUGCGAAAGCAGGUCAUAGUGAUCCGGUGGUUCUGAAUGGAAGGGCCAUCGCUCAACGGAUAAAAGGUACUCCGGGGAUAACAGGCUGAUACCGCCCAAGAGUUCAUAUCGACGGCGGUGUUUGGCACCUCGAUGUCGGCUCAUCACAUCCUGGGGCUGAAGUAGGUCCCAAGGGUAUGGCUGUUCGCCAUUUAAAGUGGUACGCGAGCUGGGUUUAGAACGUCGUGAGACAGUUCGGUCCCUA